AGCCGUCUGUGAAGCAAAGUGCAAGAUUUCAUCAGACACUGAAUCUGCUGGGGACUUAAUCUUGGAGUUUCCAGUCUCCAGAAUUAUAAGAAAUAAAUUUCUAUUAUUUAUAAAUUAACCAAUCUAAGGUUUUCAGGUGCUGGUUCCAUGGCUCUUCCUGAGCCGAAAAUAAGGAAACUCCAUAGACCUUGUCCACUGGAACUCGUUCCCAUCUACCCUCCACUCUAUCCAGCCCCAUGAGGACAAGGAACAUGAUUGGUUUUGCUCACUGCCGUAUCUUCCGUACCUAGUACGUAACAGGACAUCAAUAAAUAUUAGUUGAAUGGAAGAUUAAAUCAACAAAAUGGGUGAUGGAUCUCUGCAGUAAGUGGAAGAGUUCUUCAUGGCCCCCAAGGUUAUAUCCAUCUAGAACUUCAGCACGUAAUUUCAUCUGGAAAUAGUGCCUUUGCGGAUAUAAGUUAGGUAAAACUGAAGAUGAGAUCAUACUGGAUUAGGAUGGGAUCUAAAUCCAAUGAAAAUGUCUUCAUAAAAAACAGGAAAGAACCCAUAGAAACACAAGGAAGAAGGUCAUGUGAAGAUGGAGGCAGAGAUUGGAGGGAUGCAGCCACCGGCCCAGGAAUGCCAGCAGCCACCCAGAAGCUGGAAGGAAAUGAGGGAUUCUCUCCUAGAACCUUUAGAGAGAACAUGGUCCUGUGAACAGCUUGAUUUUGGACUUGCCCAUAGCUUGUAUACUCUUACUUUGGAUACAAUUUUAUCCAAACUUGGCUAAACAGUUUCUCAGCCUAUGGAAAAUUUAAAAUGGAGAAGAUUCAACUCGAUUCUUACAGAUUCAAAGCAAGAAAAUGAUGGGAACAUAGGAGGAGACCAAGAAAGCCUAUAAAAAGCAAAAAUAUGAAGUGAACAUUGUGGUAGCUUUAAGAUGUUUAGUGUAGCUGCAGGCACCCUAUACACAUGAAAACCCCCAAGGGGAAUCCCCAUAUCACAGUGUAGUGUGAUAUUUGACAUUCGUGAUCAUCUAGAGAUGUACAGAAAAGGUGAAUCUGUGUUCUGUAUAUUCUGCCUAAGGCAAAGAAAUGUUUAGCUCUCUUUAAAAUAGUUCCAUAAUUUUUUCUAAAAAGCUUUGCUUGAAAACUGUAAGCUUCCCAUAUCUGGAGCAUUUCACUUUAAAUAUUUGGAUAAAUAUGUUAUCUUCUUACUUGGACAUUUCAUGUGUUUAGGGAUUGUCUUCUAAAUUCUUCCUAAUUCAUAUAGCUGCUAACACUUCCCGCAGAGCUAAACCAUUACAGAUAUGAAAUAAAGACCUAUUGAUUUGACUUACUUUUACUUGUAAAACCUUCUGAGUGUUAUAACCUCAUUUAAUCUUUCAGCAUUUACAGUUUCAAGAGUUUGUGUCACAAUUAGAAGAAUUCAGCUGCACCUCCAAGUGACAGCAGUUGCUCUGGUUGGUGGGUGAUCUCAGGAGGCUUGAGAAUUGCUUUGUCUGUGAGGGAAGUAAGACAUUUUCAGAGCCCCACUUUAGAAGGUGUGAACUGGCUAGAUAAUGAACCCCAGGGCUAACGCUGCUAUAGCAGUGGGAAGGAGGUGAUGGGUUUUCAGUUUGGACCUCAAACAUCAAUACCCUCCUGGUACGGGGAGGAACAGAGUCCCUCCUUUACUUCUCCAUUAGAAAGAAUGAGAUGGCAAGACAAUGAAACAGGCAAAGUGAACAGAGAUGCAAGACAAAAUUCAGGUGAGAGAGCCAGAGCAUCACUCAGCCAUUCCUGACAUGUAAAACAGGCAACUAGAAAUUUGCAGAAAGGAAGCGAAGUCUCCAUAAAGAUGUUUUUAAAGUGAGCUUGAAGUAUUUGGAGACAAUUCAGUGUUACAUAAAAUCUGCAAAUCUCUGGAUAAAGAAGCAGAGAUCCCAGCAUGGGACAAAUGGAGCCUCAAAAGUGGGAAGAAGACAGAGAAGACCAGGGCAGAAUGCAUCUCUUCCUUUCUCUUGGCUUUCCUGGAUAAGGACUGCAUCAUUCCUGUGGAAGGACAGGCCAUCAGCUCCGAAACACUGUAUGUAUUUUCCAGUAUAUACUGCUAGCUGUGUGAUGUUGGGAAAAUUUGUUACCCUGUCUAACCCCCACUUCCCUCAUCUGUAAAAUGGAAAUAAUGAUAGUACCUACCUAUCUCAUAGGUGGCAACUACAAGGGGCAGCACACUCAGGGAAUUAAGGAAGUUUCAGUGAACAUCAACUUUAUGAACACAGUGUUCAUAAAGGCAGGUCAGUGCAGUGGUUUGGGAGCCAGGAGAAGCACGUGGGCCGGAGUGUGCCUGCAGGAGACAAGGUCAGAGAUGUUGCUAAUAAUGGAGAAUAAAGGAUGCAUUCUCAUU
ensembl:lncRNA ARLNC1 androgen receptor regulated long noncoding RNA 1